CCCCUUCCACGCGUUACGGGAGGACAAGCUGAGGGGCAGCGCUGCCUUCCUGGAUCUGCAGGCAGCUCCAGUCCCUCUGAUGCCGGGCUAAGCUUGCAGGCUUAAGCUGAAGGAAUGGCAACGGCAGCUAUUAAAAAACCUUCUACAGAAACAAACAAAAUAAAAAAAGCUAUGAGCAAUAAUAGACGGCAGCCCUGCAGCUAGCUACUAGGGAGGAGACCCCACAUGGAGAUUAGAAGAAAAAGGAAGCAGACCCGCAACUUUGCAGCACCCAGAAGGGUUAGCGUUCAGAAAACCUAACCCUUCUAUCACUGUGUAGCCAGCAAGCUUAGGGAUCAAAGCAGAUGAGGAAAAAAAGAAGUGAUUCUGGCUGUUGAUAUAUGCUCAGCAAUCUGACCUGGUCACUCCUGGACCUCCAUCAGGAAGCCAUGAAGAUCACAGUCUCUUAAAGUUGUGGGUUGCCUGCUCCCACUCCAUGUGCAUGGCCCCUGUACGCACUUGGCUGUUGAUGAAAUCCAGCUGUAAUCUAGAUCCCACCUGUGGAGAGGUCAGUGCCCAAAAACCUCAACUUACAUAAAUACCAUCAUGAUCCACCACCACGGUAGGCUGGACCAAGAGAUGAUUGCUCUGUGGAGUCCCAUGAACAUCACCCCAGCAUAAAACUGUGUGUGGCAGGAGGGGGAGAGUGCAGCAGCAGGCCUGUCCUACCGAUCUGGACAGAUACAACCCAGCUGCAGAGGUAAGGAGAGGGGGAGCCCCAUGCCUCUUGCUUGCUGCUCCUGAGAGGAGGCGGCCCCUAUUGCCACUCCUGGUUUUGGGAAAAAAGUGGCCCUAUGCCACUGUUCCUUCCUCUCUAGGUUGAUAGGGGUUCCUUCUGCCACCACAACUUUAAGUGGAGCUAAGGCCACACAAGGCCCUAUGUCAUACUGUGCCUAGUGCCCCAGAUUACCUUCUGCAGCCUAAACUUUUCCCUUCAUUAGGGCAGUGGGUCCCAAAGUUUUUACUAAGGCAGCAACCAACUGCAUUUUGUCUUUUUUUGCA